AGUGAUGUUUGGCAUAUGAAAGACAAUGAUGGACCAAGGCAAUGAUAAUUUCAUGUCCUUUGGUGUUGGAGAUGAUCCACUCGUCAUCCAGAGAAUUGAUUCCAAUGAAAUUAUAUAUUGCCCACCAAAGAGAAAGUACAAGUUGAUUGGGAAGUAUGUUUUGGGUGAUAAGCUUGGGGAAGGAAGUUAUGGCAAAGUAAAAGAAUGCCUAGAUAAAGACACCCUCCAGCGUCGAGCUGUGAAGAUAUGAAGAAGAAAACACUUAGAAGGAAUUCCAAAUGGAGACCAAAAUGUAAGAAGAGAAUACGUCUGUUAAGGAAUCUGAGGCACAAGAAUGUCAUUAAUUUAAUUGAUGUGUAUCACAAUGAUGGAGAAAGGAAAGGUAAGACUAGAGGAAUUUACAUGGUGAUGGACUUCUGUGUUACUGGGUUGCAGGAAAUGUUAGACCGAACUACCAAAAAAAAGUUCCCUAUUUGGCAGGCUCACAAAUAUUUUGUACAGUUGGUGGAAGGCCUGGAGUAUUUACAUAGCAGAGGUGUUAUUCAUAAGGACAUUAAACCAGGGAACCUUCUCCUAGAUACUGAGAGUGUUUUGAAAAUAUCAGAUUUUGGAGUUGCUGAGCAACUGGAUGUCAUUACUGGUAACGAUCAUAUCACCACAAGUCAAGGUUCUCCCCUAUUUCAACCUCCAGAGGUUGCAGGAGGAGCUAGAAUUUUCCCAGGCUUCAAAGUUGAUGUUUGGAGUGCUGGUUGUACUUUAUUUAACUUAACAAGUGGGAAGUACCCUUUUGAAGGUGAGAACAUGUAUCGACUCUUUGAAAAUAUAUGUGAAAAACCUCUAGUCGUACCUCCAGAGUUAGAUCCUGUUCUCUCAUCAUUAUUGGAAGGCAUGCUGGUAAAGGAUCCUUAUCAGCGUAUGUCUUUGGCUCAAGUGAAAUGUCAUGAUUGGUGUUGUAAGAAGCAUCCGUGUACUGACGAAGAAGCACCAAUUGGAGGUGAUGAUAGCCAGCACAGCAUAAGUAUAUUACCUUACUUGCGUUCUCAUUUUUAUGAAUCGGAAUCAGAAGAUGAGCUCAUCACAGAACAUCAGCUUAAUGAAUCAAGAAAACAGGCGGAAUGUGGCUCAGAAACAUCAAUCUCAGACAUCCAGGAUACACGAGAUAGAUCCAACAAGCAUAGGCGAAGGAAACCUACCUCUUGUAUUAGUGUCAAAUCUUUAGCAUCUUGCAAACAAUCUUGACACGCCAUGUCCAAACAACUUAGGCUUUCAAGGAAUCCUUCCUGCUAUUUAGAAGAUGGUGGCUGUCCUACAGGGAGAAGCUUGAUGGCAGUGGAAGAAAAGGUUGUUGAGACUGAAAUAUGGUGUCAUAUUUUGCAUCACGCUACAGUUGACUUGUCAGUCAGAUGAAGAAGAAAACCAGAGUAUCUGCAAAGGACUCAGAUCAAGCUAUCACUCUGGAUGUGUUAAAACCCCACUAAGCAUUUGCUUCUCAAUAUGUGAAACAGGAUACCUCAGUUAUUAUUAGUAAUUAUUGUACCUUUGUUAUAGGUACAAGAAAGUGCCUUCCAGAGGUACACUCUUAUGAUAUAAAGAAAUAUAUUAUACAACAUAAAGUUAGCAUAGUUUGACCAGAGUUGGGGUUGUUGAAGAUUAUGGUGAAACAGUUUUGUCUCCUUAGUUAUCAAGCAUUUAUGUUUGGGAUAUGAAAUGAUGUUGAAAGGGAAUUGAUCUAAAGUACAUAGACUUGAUAUAUUCAAGAUGUAAAUUGAUGUUAUGUUAAUGUUACAUUGUCUGUGAUUUGCGUAUUACUGUGGUAUCAUUUGUUUUGCAUGACUUGUCAACAAUGCCAAGACUGCUGAAACGUAGCUAGUGAGGAGUUCUUUUAUUCUUACCUGACAGAACAGUUAUCAAGAACUGAUAACUGUAUUCAAGAAAAUUUACCACCAGUUCCCACAGAUAAAGGGGAAGUUCAUGAAAGAGUGCAGUGAUAUUCCACUAGUAAUUUGAUAAGUAAGGGACACUAUCUGUCUGUGUUAUUAUCCUGUGUUCCUUGAAAGACAAACUGCAUUACGUAUAUAGAAGAUAUUUGUAUAAAAAAAAUAGCAUUGCAGUGCUGAUCUUGUAACCAAAAAUUGAGGCCUUAACAAUACCAGGCAUUUUUUAACUGCCAUGUUGUCAUAAAGCAGGGAGUGGAACAACCUGAUCAUCAUGUUAGGGGUUAGAUGACUUUUAACUCAAAAUCUCUACCAAUAUUAUGGUAUGUGUUAGCCUUAUCUUAAGUGUCAUUAAUUUUACUCUUUAAUUGCCAAAUACUGGGGAAUUUACUAGCUUGUAAGUUAUUGUUUAAUCAUUUUGAACAUCAUAUGCAUAGGAUUUUUUAUUUUUCUUGUGAUGAAGUAUUUACAUUGAUUUAGGACAGGGAACUAUCGUAUUGCUAGCUUUCAUAUUUUAGGAAAAUCACAAUUUUUACAUUAAGUAGGAAGAUUUUUCAAACUUGUGUAAACAUUUAUAAAGUUUUAACAUGAAACACUAAUAGGUUUGGGAUUGUAUAAUUUUACAUUUUAUAGGUGAUUCUAGAAGAUUCAUCCAUGGGGUCCAGUUGUUCAAGUAAUAGUGGAUGUUUUAGGAAAAAGCUAACAAUCAUGAGAAGAAAACAUGUUCUCUCUCUUUCUCUCUCUCUCUCUCUCUCUGGUGCUGAAGGAUAAGGAUUUUCAAACCACACUGAAAUUUUGUUAGUUACAUAGAGAAGAUGCAAAUGCCUUUUAGUUGAUACUGUAAGUAAUUUAAGUUCUAUCCCUAGUAUGGUUAGACUAUUUGGCAUUUUUCCACAUAUUUUUAUAAUGCUGCUAUUUAUUCCAUAAGAUAUUAGAGUGAAUAGACCUUAUAAGAAAACAGCAACAUUUUGCAGGGAAUUCUCCUCUUUCAAAGCUAUUUAUGGAGUUUGAUAAAAAAAUUUCUUUUCAUUUUCUCAUGAUUGCUACUGGUUCAUGGAGAAGGAUGUUUCACGUAGCAUAAAAGAACACAGUAGGAUUUGGUCAGUAUAAGUAGGAUUAAACUAUUUUCCAAUGCAUAUCUGUGAUAAGAAAGGAUGGCUCCGAUAGGUUUAGGUUUUGCACUACUUUGCAUGGAGGAUCAGAGGUGAAUUUAAGUAGGACUGCAUAUCUGAUGUCAGGUUAUGUUGUUAGUUUGUUAGAUCAGAUUUUGCUAAGUCUCUACUUCCUCAUGUAUAGACAUGUAUCUACAUUUAUCACUUUUAUUUUGUAAUAUAUGAUAUUAACUGAUUUACAGUUGGAGACAAACAAUUUUCCUUGCAGAAUUUGGUGCCUAAUUCUUCUUCAGUAUUCUAUGUGCCAUUAUGUUAGUUUGUUUAGUUUUAAUGUUAUUUAUCCGACCUAUGCUAAAAUGUUUUGGAAUUGCAGUAAUUUUGGUUAUUGACAAAUACAAAAAUUCACAGAAAUUUCAUAAAAUGUGGUUUUGUUAAAGCCAUAGAAGGGUUCUCUGGUCAGUCUUUAAGCUGUAUCUAAAUAAUAGAUUUCAGAUUUAGCUCAUGAUUGAGUGCUACCAUUUAAAGUAGUGGAUAACCCAGAAACAAUGAAGGAAAUUGGAGUUUUAAAAUAAUUAAUUCUAUUGUACUAGUAUUUAUAUAUAUCGUGUGAGUUUCAGUGCUUAAGAAACCUCCAUCAUUACACACAAAUUUUGCGGAAACCUAUAUUCACACCUUAUUUAUAUUUCACCAAUCAGUUAUGUAAUGUGUUGUUCAGCAAUAUUUUAUUUUGUUUUUGAGUAACUUUGGGAAUGGGUAGAACCUUGUUUUAAUAGAUUAAUAUCCAACAUAUUUCUAGAUAGAUAUUCAUCUCUUUGACUUAACAGUAUUUCAGUGAAACAGUCAUUAAGAUCUUAUUCUUUUACUCUUGUAUAUCAUGCCAAUUUUGUAAAUGAAUAUGUGAGUUAAUGGUGUUCUAUGUUAGGUAUUUGUGACUUUUGCUCAAACCUUUGCCUUUUUUAUUUUAUGAUUUUUACCUAUGUUUUAUAAGACAGAUUUUAUAUUUAUUACAAGUAUUUUCUGUAUAUUUUUCUAUGUUGGUUUCACCAUAUACUAUUUUUAUCAAAUUUUAUCAUCUUGAUUUUUUGUGUGCCAUUAAUAUUAUGUAGAUAUUUCCUUUAUUCACUGUAGCUUAUUAUAAUGUUGUGUUACAUUAAACUUAAUUUUGUGGGUGGGAAUAUUUUUUAGGUAAGCUUAUGAUCAUCAAAACGCAUUUAAGUUCUGAAGAUGUUCUUUGGAGCAGAACUCACACUUUAAAUUUAGGCAGAAGUAAGAGCUAUGAUGUUGCUGAUUCGUGGAGAAUCAAGGUUAUUGUGUGGUCUCGUUAAAUAAUUAAUUAAAGACAAUAUAAUAUAGAGUGUACAAUAUGCACUUGUCAUGUCAUGUUAGCGAGAUAAGUUUUGUUAUUCCAUGUGCCAUGUCAAAACUUGUAUUUUUACCAAUUUGUACACUUCUUUGCAUUUAGCUGGAUGCCACAUUUUGCAGUUGUGAGCUUAGAGCUGGAUAUUAGGCUACAGGUUUAAUAGACAUGGUGGCAUCUUUCUUUGGUUUUUUAUCAGACUUGUUUUUAGGUGGUUUUGCCUUUGGAAUAUGGUACUCAUACUUAAGAAGGACAGGAGUGUCUUCUUGUAUUAUGAUAAGAAUAGAAGAAUGUUAGUUAAGCAGAAUAAGUAAACAUUAGGGAAAGAUUUUAGCAGAUUAAACAGAAUUGAAACAUAAGCAGCUUAACAUAAAGAAAUUAACAAAAUGUAUAAGUGUAUACUAGUAAUAAACAACUUUUGCCAAGGACUAUGAAAACAUUAAUUAAGAGGGCUAUGAAAGAAACAUCAAUCAGUUUUAGGAAUAGUAAUCAAAAUAAAUAAAAUACAGGCUGCAAAUUACUGGAUAUGGAAAAUAAAGAUUAAUAUGAAAAAAGGAUUUUUUUGUUGGCUGAAACAUUUGGAUUUAUUAGACAAUGUAUUUUGAAACCAAAAAUCAGUUUCCAAAAGUACCAGCUUGCUUGUGUUUUGUAGAAAUUUUUGUGUUAGCGGAUAAUUAUACUUAGAUGUCCCAAGAAUAGUAAGUGGAGAAAUCGGGCAAAAUAGAUGUAACAGUUGGCAUAAGUUUAAGAUGAUCUUAUGUAAAACAUAUUUAGUUUACCAAAUUAAGUGAUAUAGUGCAUACACAAAUGGAAAAGCUAUGACAAUAACAACCAAUAGAGACAGAAUGAAGUAGGACAAUAGCUGUUAAUAUAGAACAGUCUUCACUGAUAGUGACUGAUGACUUUGAGCAUGCUUUCUUGUACCUAAAAGUUUGUGAUGAUAGUUAUUUAUAUCAUCAUUAUUUAGUUUGAUCAUGAUUUUCAUUAUACAUAGAUGUAUGGAGAACACUUAGAAAUGUUGCAGUUUGGUAGUACAUAGUAGCGCCUCCCUCUCCAUCUAACUGCCACAAAAUAAGGAGGAUUAAACUAGUAAUUUUCAGGCAAAGUUUUUGUUUGUUUGGCUAGGCAAAGACAAAGAAAAAUAACCAACUGUUAGUGAUUAAUGAAUGAAAUAUCUGGCAGAAAAGCCAAGGAUGGCGACAGUUUUAACUGAUACCAAUAAUAAAGUGAAACUUAGUUGGACGGUUGUCAGUAAUACUUUUGAGUAUUUGUUGUGCAAGGCACUUGGAUUAUCAGCCAGUUUUUUUAUCACGGUGUUUUACUGGUUUUAGGUAGAACUGUUUAGCUGAUAUCUUAAGCUGUUAAUUUACGUUAGUGGCACAUUUUGUGAGAGCAUUUGGUCUGUGGAGGAUGUAUCUGGAACCAAAAGUAUCACUCCUCCUCUGUAAAACAAACACACAACAGGCAACAUUUGUUUUGUGCCAAAAAUACUUUUAAAAAAACUCCAUCUGUGCGCUGCUUCCAUAUAAUAGGCUCUGAAAUAAGGCUUGGAAAUUCACUUAUUAUUUCAAUAUAUAUAUAUAUAUAUAUUAUGCAGUCAUAGUACUCCAGGUUUUCCUUUAAGAUUUCUGGUUAAAUACUUUGUUAUGUAUUCCUGUAGUCUCAUAUUAUGUGAAAUUGAGAAUCCGCACUAAUUACUUGUAUCAUGAUUGACCAGAACCCUAAUAUGUUCAAAAUUACUUAUGAUAAUCUUGGUGUUGUAAGAAUUUUGCUUUCACUUAGUAUACUAUACUAUUACAUUAAAUUUGCUUGUAAUAGGUUGUAGGUGAAAGAUAAAAGAUUAUUUAUUAUUAAGUUCCUGUUAUCGUUGUCAAGAUGACUCAUUUUAUCUUGAUGUAUCACCUUCACAAACUAGUAGGCUAACUCAUCCCAAGUACAUAUGUACUCAGGUUGUUCCACCACAAAGCUAACGUGACCUGUAUCUCCCACCCUGUUAUCAAUCCCAGGGCAGCUCAGCUUUUGCUUGAAUGGCAGGGGCACCAACUGAACUCUGAAUUCUCCUCCUCUCCUUCACUUUUGGUACGUUACACUGGGUUCAGUUGGAGUAAAAACAUAAAUGAGGACUGUAAAAGAUCACAGCAACAGACCUGUUGCUUCUGUCAGAUGCUUUUGUAGCCUUUCAGGAUAGAAGUGAUGUUGCUUACUUACUGCAAUGACUGUGCUUCAUUUCUAUGUACUCUUUUGGCAACAGCAUGGAAAUUUAUUUUUAGUUUUCAUUUUGAUUCUUAUUCUUGUUAAUUGUGCUUAUGAGAAUUAUUUCACAUAUAUAGCUCUACUAUUUGGGUGCCAGAUUUGAAUGAUGAUAUUUUUUCCAUACAGUACAUGGAUAUUUCUGGUAUCAAAAGCGAAAGGAGAGAUAUUAUCAUGCAUUUAUUUGUAUGUAAAGAAGAAUGUUGAAUGUUGAUGUUAAAAUGUAAGAUAUUGUAAAGUGGUUUAGUAGUACAAGUAUGUAAAUAACGAUUCCAGCCUAGUGGCUUAGCGUUUAUAUGCGGCACAUUAAAUGCACAUUUUGUAUAUACAUUCUUCAUAUCCACUUUCAAAAUUUGAUUCAUUCAAAUACCCUGUUUCUCUUUACUAUGUCCUGUUCACAUUCUUUUAUAUACUAUUCACAUCUUGUUUUUAUUGUGUUUAUCUUUGGCAAGGCAUUAUCUUUAUGUGUAUUUUUCAGAUAAAUGUACACAUAA